rnacentral:lncRNA from 1 species
AUCUGACUUUUCAAUAAAGAUUUUCAAAAAUAAUCAGCAAGAUGGAGUAAUUUGCAAAUUUCCCCCACUGGUUGGCAAGACCACCUUUCUAGGUGAGCGAGCCAAACUGAAGCCCCUUCAGAUAUUUUCCUUAAUGUCUUAUUCCUUGAUGGAUAUAUCUGACACAAUUUAUUUUGCCAAGAGGAAAUAAGUGAUCUGCCUUUGUGGAGACUACAAAAAAAGUCAAGCAACUUGGUACAUUUCAAUGACAGGACAGGACAGAAAGGCA